CUGCCUUCCAUGUAAAAUGGGACUUGCUCCUCCUUGUCUUCCACCAUGAUUGUGCAGCCUCCCCAGCCAUGUGAAACUGUACAAAUACAGUCAGUUCAGAGUUGACACUCACUUUCAAGGAUGUUUUGUCCUGGCUGAUUCCGAUGGCGUGUGAAUUGCUGGUCUGGAUCCCGGGAUUCAUGACUACAACCCCAAAAUACGGCACUUCUGCCUGUGUGGAAACAACAGAAGCAGGAAGAUUACUCUCAUUUUUCUCUGGCCUUUUUCCCUUGAAGCAGACUAUAAAGAAGAAUCUGACCUUCCUCUGAAGGAAACCUUCAUUCCAGACAUACCCUCCCUAUAUCCAAAGAACAUCUUUAUCUUUAAAGACACAGAGAUGUCAAGAAGAAUCUGAACAAACAGGCUUUGCCAGAUCCCCCAGUUUACUAAUAUUGAACCAUACUCUUUUGUUCUUCAAUCAUACUUCUGCAUGAUGUCCAUAAAAAUACACAGUUUUCCCCAUUCCUUUUGGGUAUUUAUUCCCGAAAGCUUCUGUGUCAUGUAAAACUUACAUUAAAUAAAUUUGUAUGCUUUUCCUUG
rnacentral:lncRNA from 1 species